rnacentral:tRNA from 1 species
UCCUUGGCUCAGACGGUAAAGCAUCUGCUUGAAAUGCAGGAGACCCAGGUUCGAUCCCUGGGUUAGGAG